AUUGAACGCUGGCGGCAGGCCUAACACAUGCAAGUCGAGCGGAUGACGGGAGCUUGCUCCUUGAUUCAGCGGCGGACGGGUGAGUAAUACCUAGGAAUCUGCCUGAUAGUGGGGGACAACGUUUCGAAAGGAACGCUAAUACCGCAUACGUCCUACGGGAGAAAGCAGGGGACCUUCGGGCCUCGCGCUAUCAGAUGAGCCUAGGUCGGAUUAGCUAGUUGGUGAGGUAAUGGCGCACCAAGGCGACGAUCCGUAACUGGUCUGAGAGGAUGAUCAGUCACACUGGAACUGAGACACGGUCCAGACUCCUACGGGAGGCAGCAGUGGGGAAUAUUGGACAAUGGGCGAAAGCCUGAUCCAGCCAUGCCGCGUGUGUGAAGAAGGUCUUCGGAUUGUAAAGCACUUUAAGUUGGGAGGAAGGGCAGUAAGCUAAUACCUUGCUGUUUUGACGUUACCGACAGAAUAAGCACCGGCUAACUCUGUGCCAGCAGCCGCAGUAACAC
rnacentral:rRNA from 1 species